rnacentral:misc_RNA from 1 species
AAGUCGUAACAAGGUUUCCGUAGGUGAACCUGCGGAAGGAUCAUUAGUGAUUAAUUAUUGAGUGUAAAAACUCAUAAUCUUCUAUUACAAACCACUGUUUUAAAAUGUUUACUAGAAUGUCCAAGCAGUUAAGCUGUUGAAAUUAUAAAAGUUUAAUAAAACUUUCAGCAACGGAUCUCUUGGUUCAG